CGAACAUUCUUGGCCGUACGUGUCUACGUGAGUGGGCAUGCAGGAUGGAUGACCUCAACGGGCAGCGCUCAGGCCUCCCUCCUCUUGCCACUAUCCCUCCGGUGGAAGCCCGUCCUUGCCAACGCUAGCGCCACGGUCGCCUCUGGCUCUACAACUGCCGUGGCUCGACCCUCCGUGCAGGGCAUCAGGAGAGUAUGAGGCAAUGUCCCAAGCUCGCCGUGCAGGGCAUCAGGAGAGUAUGAGGUAAUGUCUGAAGCUUGCUGUUGCUCCCCGGCCCCUGGGCGUUGAAUCUGACAUGAGGACGAAGGUCACUCCAGAUCGGAGAGAGGAGUCCAUGGUGGACUGACGACCUUGCCAAUGGCCUGGCUGUGUAUUCUUGCUUUGCGCGAUAUCUGCUAUGCUACAUUCAUCUGGGUAGCCUGGCGUUCAACUCUACAUUGUCAACAAGAGGCAAGGUGACAUUGUUGGUGUUGCUAUUCCGUGCUGCCGAGUUCACCAAGUCGCGAGUUUUCCUGUCUUGCCUAUUGCAAGAGCUGUUGUGUAUGGUUGCAAGCGGAAGCUCAUUCAAAAGCUUGUGCCUCUAUUAAGAGAGGACGAUUUCCAAUUUCAGUUACCUUUGUUCCAAAAGUGUCUAAUUUAUUGAACUGGUACUAUACACUUUCAUCUGUUUGUUCAUGCCUUUUCUUUUGGAUUACUGAUGUUUUUCCGGUUUCUUCGUUCCAGCUGAGACACCUUACGGUUGUUUUGUUGUUGUGUCGGGGUUACAAAUGGCCGAAGAUUACUUGAUCGAUAAUGGCAAUAUAGGGCAGAUGAUAUAUCAUAUUUGACGAGCUCGUGGCCAUGUAGUCUCAUCUUAUUUGUAUUUCUAUAUUUUUAAUAUUGUAUUUACGUCCACUGCAAUAUUACGUAACUGAAUGACCUUCCCAUUAAAUAGAAUUAUCUGUCUGCAGUUAUAUGGAACUCUAUUUUCUCACCUGACUUAUGAUGGAAAUUACUCAUGUAUAUUGGAGUUUAACUGACUGGUGCACUACUAAUACAGAUGGCUGGGUGAGUCUCCCUUUUUCUGUCUAAAUGAGUUUAUUAGAAUAUCCAAUGAACUCUUUUAAAUGGAAGUAGGAUGCCUUCAAGUAUGUGUAAUGAAUAUUAAUCAGUAGAUAAGCCAUGAACAGUCAAACCAUUAGCAAUGAGAACCCAUGCCGCUCUCUUGAGCUUUGGCACUACCUGGAUCCUUUACUUCCCCGUGCCGCUCGGCUUCCUCUGCAGGUGGGCUAUCCUGGUGAUGGGUGAUGGGACCUGGAAGACAAGGUGUUCAUGGUGAUGGGUGUCGGCACUGCCGACACCCAUCACCACUCGGCACCUCCGUUAGCUCAACUGUCGGA